rnacentral:tRNA from 1 species
AGAGGGUUGAUUAAGUAGAUCAAAUAGUCUUCAAAAUUAUUAGUAUUGGUUCGAAUCCAAUACCCUCUG